AUACUUACUUGGCAGGGGAGACACCAUGAUCAUGAAGGUGGUUUUCCCAGGGUGAGGCUUAUCCAUUGCGCUUCGGGUGUGCUGAUCCCUACGGUUUCCCCAAAUGUGGAAAACUCGACUGCAUAAUCUGUGGUACUGGGGGACUGCAUUUGUGCUCUCCCCUG